rnacentral:rRNA from 1 species
GGGAAGCGAGCCCUGAGAUGAGUCAUCCCUGACCCCUUGAGGGUCCUAAAGGGCCGUUGGAGACCACAACGUUGAUAGGUGGGGUGUGUAAGCGCAGUGAUGUGUUGAGCUAACCCAUACUAAUUACCCGUGAGGCUUAACCAU